rnacentral:rRNA from 1 species
UGACGGAGUAGUGAAAGCACCGCGUACUGACGGAAUAGUACGUUGAAGCAAGUGGUAACACUUACGAUAGUACACUAAGGCUACGGCUGCGGUGAUAAUCCAGCGAAUCGACUUCCAAGAAAAGCAAGUGAAGCAGCCCGUACCGCAAACCGACACAGGUAGUUGGGAUGAGAAUUCUAAGGUGCUCGAGAGAUUCAUGGCUAAGGAACUAGGCAAAAUCGACGCGUAACUUCGGGAGAAGCGUCGCCCAUCUUCGGAUGGGCCGCAGUGAAAAGGUCCAGGCGACUGUUUAUCAAAAACACAGGGCUUUGCUAAAUUGAAAGAUGAUGUAUAAGGCCUGACACCUGCCCGGUGCUGGAAGGUUAAAGAAGGGGGUUAGC